GUGGGGGGACGACCCCCCACGCCCCCCGGCAACCCCGCCGUGUUCCCUGUGGGGGGACGACCCCC
rnacentral:ncRNA from 1 species